AACGAACGCUGGCGGCAUGCCUAACACAUGCAAGUCGAACGAGACCUUCGGGUCUAGUGGCGCACGGGUGCUUAACGCGUGGGAACCUGCCCUUAGGUUCGGAAUAACUCCCCGACAGGGGUGCUAAUACCGGAUAAUGUCUUCGGACCAAAGAUUUAUCGCCUUUGGAUGGGCCCGCGUUGGAUUAGCUAGUUGGUAGGGUAAAAGCCUAACACGGCGUCGAUCCAUAGCUGGUCUGGGAGGAUGAUCAGCCACACUGGGACUGAGACACGGCCCAGACUCCUACGGGAGGCAGCAGUGGGGAAUAUUGGACAAUGGGCGAAAGCCUGAUCCAGCCAUGCCGCGUGGGUGAUGAAGGCCUUAGGGUUGUAAAGCUCUUUUACCCGGGAUGAUAAUGACAGUACCGGGAGAAUAAGCUCCGGCUAACUACGUG
rnacentral:rRNA from 1 species